rnacentral:rRNA from 1 species
UACGUAGGGGGCAAGCGUUGUCCGGAAUUACUGGGUGUAAAGCGCGUGUAGGCGGGAGGCCAAGUCUGUGGUGAAAUCGCUCGGCUUAACUGGGCGGGGUCCAUGGAAACUGGUCACCUGGAGGUCGGUAGAGGCAAGUGGAAUUCCCGGUGUAGUGGUGAAAUGCGUAGAGAUCGGGAGGAACACCAGUGGCGAAGGCGGCUUGCUGGGCCGGACCUGACGCUGAGACGCGAAGGCGUGGGGAGCGAACGGG